rnacentral:rRNA from 1 species
AUUGAACGCUGGCGGCAGGCUUAACACAUGCAAGUCGAGCGGAGAUGAGGUGCUUGCACCUUAUCUUAGCGGCGGACGGGUGAGUAAUGCUUAGGAAUCUGCCUAUUAGUGGGGGACAACAUUCCGAAAGGAAUGCUAAUACCGCAUACGUCCUACGGGCGAAAGCAGGGGAUCUUCGGACCUUGCGCUAAUAGAUGAGCCUAAGUCGGAUUGGCUUGUUGGUGGAGUAACGGCCUACCAAGGCGACGUGCUGUAGCGGGUCUGAGAGGAUGAUCCGCCACACUGGGACUGAGACACGGCCCAGACUCCUACGGGAGGCAGAAGUGGGGAAUAUUGGACAAUGGGGGGAAACCUGAUCCAGCCAUGCCGCGUGUGUGAAGAAGGCCUUAUGGUUGUAAAGCACUUUAAGCGAGGAGGAGGCUACUGAGACUAAUACUCUUGGAUAGUGGACGUUACUCGCAGAAUAAGCACCGGCUAACUCUGUGCCAGCCGCCGCCGUAAAAC